ACACAGUAGCUGAGUGGAUAAAGCGAUGGCAUUUGAAGCGAACGGUACUAGGUUCGAGUCCCGGAGUAA
rnacentral:tRNA from 1 species